GACGAACGCUGGCGGCGUGCCUAAUACAUGCAAGUAGAACGCACAGUUUAUACCGUAGCUUGCUACACCAUAGACUGUGAGUUGCGAACGGGUGAGUAACGCGUAGGUAACCUGCCUGGUAGCGGGUGAUAACUAUUGGACACGAUAGCUAAUACCGCAUAAUAUUAAUUAUUGCAUGAUAAUUAAUUGAAAGGUGCAAUUGCACCACUACCAGCUGGACCCACGUUGUAUUAGCUAGUAAGUGAGGUAACGGCUCACCUAGGCGACGAUACAUAGCCGACCUGAGGGGGAGAACGGACACACUGGGACUGGGACACGGCCCAGAAUCCUACGGGGAGCAGCAGGAGGGAAACUUAGGAAAUGGGCGAAAGGCUGGACGAAGAACGCCGCGUGAGUGAAGAAGGUUUUCGGAUCGUAAAGCUCUGUUGUAAGAGAAGGAAGGGGGUGAGAGGGGAAAGUUCACACUGUGACGGUAUCUUACCAGAAAGGGACGGCUAACUACGUG
rnacentral:rRNA from 1 species